AGAAAAAAGAAGGAAAAUUUUUUAUUAAUAUUCCAUUUAAAUUGGAGUUUUUUGAUAAUUUUGCUAAGUUAUGUUUUCUCCAUCUUUAUAUUUAUAUUGUGAUAUCAAUUGGAAUCAUUCAAGUAUCAGCCAACAAUCAAAAAUAUCUUUUAAAUGGUCAAAAGGAAUAUAAGAGAAAAACAAAAUUAAUGAUGGAAUCGUCGUAUAAUAUCAACACCAAACAAGAGCCACAAGGAGAGAAGACGAAAGAGAAAGAAAAGAGAACAGUGUCAAUAAGAAAUUAGCGGAGACUCUAAUUAUUGGUGAUGUUAAUUAACAACAAUCUAUCUGAAUGAUGAGGCUCCAAGUUCUCAUUUGAUUAGAAUUUCUUUAAGGCAAAUUGUAAUUCGUUUGAAUAUCUUGGGUUUGCUGGUUCAACGUUCGCCGUCAAUGUUAUUGGUGAUUGGAAAUGGAUAAUGAUGAUGAAAAGCAUGAAGAAAAUGGGAAAGAACGAGGAAAGUGAAAGUAAACUUAAUCACGGAAGAAUUAACCUGAUGAGAUUUGGUAUCUUUCAAUUUUGACCGGAAGUUGUUGCCCAAAUCGACAAGAAAAAAAAGAACUAAUUUGUUGUGAAAAGUUUUUUUUCUUUCUUCGAUUUUUAUAUCUCAAAACUCAUCAUUACAAUUAAUUUGAUUGUGAAUUGAUUGUUUUCCUCUACUAAUAUUUUAUUUUCUCUUUUUUUAGUUUUCGUUCAAUUUGAUGUCCUCUCUCACUCCCUUUUAAUAAUGUAACUUUUUUUUGCUAACUCGAUAAUCGGGAAGUAAUCAAAACGAUUAUCAUCAACACCAUCAUUAUCAUGAUCAUCUUUAACCUCACUUUAUAAUCAUGAUAAUCAACCAGAUUAACAACUAACGACAAAUUAAUACAAUAAUAAUAAUCAACAUCCAACUAAAAGUUACCAGGAAGCUGUUGUUAAUUAGAUAAUCACAAUCAAGGAAUCAACCACAACUUCAAUUAAUCUUUAAUCUUUAAUCUUUAAUCAAUGGAUCAACUUAUUGAAAGCUUAUUAAUUAUCUCAAUUUUUGAUGAUUUGAUUAAUCAGGACAAUACAGAUAAGAUGUACAGGUAACUCUUAUUUCAAAUAAAAACAAAAGCAAAUGAAAAUGGAGACAAGAUGAUUAAGGAAACUUGAUAAUCAGGAACUAGUUCAAAUGCUCUAAAUGGAUUUUGAAUACAGAACGAAGUGUCGAACCAUCGAAUUGAUACUCUACAGGAUUAAUUUCGAGAAAUGGAAAUCAGAUUGGUGACAAUUAAUUAGAUGAUCAAAGUCGACAAUCAGUCAAGUUAAUCUGUUAAAUGAUAAAAAGUCCAGACGGAAGCAAAUUAACCAAUAUAAGUCAAUCAACCUUAUCAGAAUUUUGUUAAUUUUAAUUGUUGAUUAAUUUUACCAUCAACUAAAUCAUCCUAAAUUGAAAUAAUUAAUAUUACGAUGAUUAUGAUUGUAAAAUUGAUGUCGAUCUUUAAAAGUUGAUCAAAAUUUUGAUACUAUUUAACCUUACAAUUAACAUAUUGAACAAUCAACUCUACUUAACAUGUUAUAUGAAGUGAGAAUGAUUAAUUUAAUUAUUAUGAUUGUUAACUAAUAAUUGUUUUCUCGUCAACAACUUGAUAUUGAACUCGUACAAUUAACAAUCAUCAAGUGAAAACUGUCGACCUUCAAUUGUUGUAUAAUAUUGAUUGUUAUUAGUUGAUUAGUGGUUAGUAAAUUGAUCAAAAAUAUAAAGGAUAAAAAAUUAAUCAUCCAAACUAAUCAACUUAACUCAAGUUGAUUAACGAUGAAAAAUUAAUCAAGACAAAAGUGACAAUUGAUUUGCAAAUGAAAAAAAUACUUUCUCACUCAAAUCCAUCACUAUUAAUUGUCGAUAAUUAAUCAAAUCGUCUCAUCACGUAGUUAAACUGAACAAUAGUUAAUUUUUUCUCUAAUUAUCUUAAUCAACCAAAUUAACUUUCAACUAAUCAAAUUAUUUUAUUGUCUUUUUUUUCAGUUAUCAACCAAUCGGAGGUAAUAAGGAUGAGGAGGCCAAAGGUCAAGCAUUUACCUGUCAAUAAGUUAUAAAUGUUUCAUACUUGACAUUAUGGCCUAGAAGUUAAUUAACUACGAAAAUUAAAUUGUAGUUAAUCCUUUUCCAUGUCUCAUCUGUAAUUUAUGUGUAAAUUUAAUUUCUCAUCUCACUACCAAUUGUUGACUUGAUUGUACACUAAUUAUUUAGAUUACAAUCAGAUCUAAUGUUAAUACAAUAAUUAACGAUCUAUUGUACUGAUUAGAUCUGAUUGUUAACAUUUAAUAAUUUGCCGUUUAUCUUCAUCAUCUUUAAUCAAAUCAUAACAACAAUUACAUAAUAUACUGAUAUUAUCUGUAAUCACAACCCAUCGUUAAUUGUUUACAAUUAACAAUAACUUAGCAUUUGAUUUGUUUCUGUCAAAACAAUUUUUUUUCCUAUUAUUAUUAACUAACAAAUUUACCUCCCAAAAUUAACUGUUCACAAUCAUAAUUGUUAUCCAUUCAGUUUAAUUUGAUUAUAAUUUAAAUAAUUCACAGUUUGUACUUGAUGAUAACUGAAAGAAGUGUUAAAUUAUAAUAGUUAACAAUAAUUCAUUUAGUUGAUUCAAUUCAGACAGGAAGUUGAUUAAUAUAUAAAUAUUAUUGUUUAUUAAAUUACUUUUGGAUGAAUGAAGAUAAUUUGAAAAUUGAAUAAUGUUAAUUAACUUAUGACCUCAAAUUUGUUACAAAAUCAAAUUGAAUGAGUAGUGAUUGUGAUUUGUAAUAGUUAAUCAACCCUAUGGUUAAUUACCAUCAAUGGAAAUACAAAAAAAAAAUUAAGUCUCUUGCUCAUUCAAAUUGAUAAUUGAACAAUCAAUAAUAGCAAUUAAGAUUAAUGUAAUCCAUUGAAUGAUUAACAAUUAACGAUUCAAGAGGCUUUUUAACAAAGUUGUUUAAUCAAAAAAGGAUCAAAACUGGUCAAUGAUUUAAGUCAAAGGAUUCAAUUGUAUUCCUAUGGGACUGUUAACAAUUAAGGAAGUGAAUGAAGCAAAGACAAUCAAGUAACAAUUAAAGUGAACUAUUAACUUAAUAAAUUAUUUGUAGUAAAAUAAAUCACGAAGAAAACCGGUAAACAAAUCAGGUUCGAGGUCAGAUUUAAGUGAUGAUUUACAAGAGAGAGAAAGUGAAAUGAGAGAGAAAGAGCCUUAAUUUGAUUUGGAAAUUAAGAACUGAAUUCAGGAUAAAUCAGAAAAAAAUGAUGAAGAUAAGAAAGAGAAAAGAAAGAGACCGGAAGAGCAAAUUUCUUCCUCACAAACACGACUGACUCUCUCUCUCUCUC